rnacentral:rRNA from 1 species
AACGAACGCUGGCGGCAUGCCUAACACAUGCAAGUCGAACGAAACCUUCGGGUCUAGUGGCGCACGUGUGCGUGACGCGUGGGAACCUGCCCUUAGGUUCGGUAUAACUCCCCGAAAGAGAUGCUAAUACCGGAUGAUGUCUUCGGACCAAAGAGUUAUCGCGUUUGGAUGGGCGCGGGUUGGAUUAGCGAGUUGGUAGUGUAAAAGCCGACCAAGGGGACGAUGCUGAGCUGGUGUGAGAGGAUGCUACUCCAGGAUUGGAAUGCGACACGGCCCAGAAUCCGACGCGAGGGAGGAGUGGGGAAUAUAGGACAAGGGGGGAAAGCCUGACCCAGCCAUGUGGGGUGAGUGAUGAAGGCGGUAGGGUUGUAAAGCUGUUUUACACGGGAUGAUAAUGACAGUACCGGGAGAAUAAGCUCCGGCUAACUCCGUG